rnacentral:rRNA from 12 species
UCUAUUGCACGGCCAUGCCCAAGUGCGACUGCUCGAUCCCGUCAGAUCUCGAAAGCUAAGCAGGGUUGUGCCUGGUCAGUACUUGGACGGGAGACCACCUUGGAAGACCGCAGGUUGCAUCAGAA